AGCCGUGUAGAUUGCUCCAGUUGCUCUUGCUGCCCAUUAGGGCCCAUCUGUUCUGCGAGUAGUGGGCUGUCUGUCGUUAUCUCCACCGGUUGCGCCUCUAUGCUCUUUGUUGUGACUGUAUUCGAUGCAUUCGAGCUGUCCUGUAUCAGCAGGACAAGGCGAAGUAGCGCUGUUGAGUUCUGACAGUUCCUCUUGCUGCUGUGGUGGGUUAUCAUCGUUCGUUUCCAUGAUGGUAAACGACCCUUCGAGUGUCUGCGUAUCGUUUGCUGUCUCUGGCAUCUCUACUAAAACUGUCUCCUCGCUGUAGGGAGACGGGUCGUCUUGCGGCAUACCCAUGUGUGGUUCAGGCUCGCAUAUCUGGAUUUCCUCAUCGUCUUGAGAGUCUUCUCCUUUUCUAGUGAUGCUCGAGGACUCCGGUUUUGCAAUAAUCACUCCAAAAGGAGCCUCUUCNGGGGCCGCCUGAACGCAGCAGAGGUGGAGCCGCAUUGUUUUCUGCCCCGUUCUCUUCUAUCAUGUACAAUUUAAUGUUGCAAAUGAUACUAAAAAAGACCUGCAGAAAAAAAUAAGGUUUUAAAGCCGAUUUGCAUCGGCGGCAAGCGCUAACCCUGACGCUCGAACCCAGUUGGGAAAAAUUUGCGCAUCAAAAGAGAGGGAAAAAUUGCCUUCUGAAGAUUUUAGAAUUUAGAUGAACGAUAAAAUAUCAUUUGAAAAACGUGAGGUAGCCAAAUGCCUCGUCAUCCAAUUAGUCCGUAAUUCAAAUUCUAUUUUAAAGUGCUCCCGAGGGGGCUCGAACCCCUGUCCUUCGGUUCAUAAGACCAACGCUCUAACCAGCUGAGCCACGGGAGCUUGGGGCAUCUAAAUGCCUCGCCAUCUAAUUAGUGACGUGCAUGAAUGGAUUAACGAGAUUCCCACUCUCCCUAUCUACUAUCUAGCGAAAUCACAGCCAAGGGAACGGGCUUGUUGGAAUCAGCGGGGAAAGAAGACCCUGUUGAGCUUGACUCUAGUCCGACUUUGUGGAACGACUUAGGGGGUGUAGCACAGGCGGGAGCUUCGGCGAUCGUGAAAUGCCACUACCCUCAGUGUCCUUUUACUUAUUCCAUCAAGUGGAGAAGCAUGCAACGCAUGUAUUUUUGCCUUACGGUGCCCCUCGGGGUGCUGAGCAAUGCGGAAGACACAGUGAGGUGGGGAGUUUGGCUGAGGCGGCACAUUUGUGAAACAAUAGCGCAGGUGUNAAGGGGAAAAUCUUGCUUGAUUUUGAUUUUCGAACCUCUUGUACACAAAGAACCCUAUCUUGUCUGGCCCUCCUACAGACUUAAGGUUGCUGUUUAGCGGCUGAGCACGCACAUCCCCUUCUGUGAAGCAUAGAUCAAUCCCAGGCCCCACUACGAGCUGAAGACAAAGGGUCUAAGAACUCAUGAGCAGCAUCAGAAGUGGAAUAAAUUGAUUGCUCAGAGUGCUGAUCUCGAAUGCGUGCCUCCAGCUCACUGAGUUGAAUAGGACAAUCUCGGCUUCUAGGUUGAUCUUCAUCAGCUAGUCGUUGCUCCACACACUUCUUUCUGUCUUUCAUGUAGAGUGCUUGGAGGCUUUGUGCUCACUUUUCUUUGAGGAUCAUGAUGAGGCGAA
rnacentral:ncRNA from 1 species